UACGCCUACGGGAGGCAGCAGUAGGGAAUAUUGCUCAAUGGGGGAAACCCUGAAGCAGCAACGCCGCGUGGAGGAUGAAGGUUUUCGGAUUGUAAACUCCUUUUGUUAGAGAAGAUAAUGACGGUAUCUAACGAAUAAGCACCGGCUAACUCCGUGCCAGCAGCCGCGGUAAUACGGAGGGUGCAAGCGUUACUCGGAAUCACUGGGCGUAAAGAGCGCGUAGGCGGGAUAGCAAGUCAGAUGUGAAAUCCUAUGGCUUAUCCAUAGCACUGCAUUUGAACCUGUUAUUCUAGUGUAUGGGCGGG
rnacentral:rRNA from 1 species